rnacentral:rRNA from 1 species
UACGGAGGGUGCAAGCGUUGCUCGGAAUUAUUGGGCGUAAAGGGCAAGUAGGUGGUCUCAUUUGUCUGGGGUGAAAGCCUUGAGCUUAACUCAAGAAGUGCCCCAGAAACGGUGAGACUAGAGUCCUGGAGAGGGUCGUGGAAUUCCCGGUGUAGCGGUGAAAUGCGUAGAGAUCGGGAGGAACACCAGAGGCGAAAGCGGCGACCUGGACAGGCACUGACACUCAACUGCGAAAGCGUGGGGAGCAAACAGG